AACGAACGCUGGCGGCAGGCCUAACACAUGCAAGUCGAACGAACCUUCGGGUGAGUGGCGCACGGGUGCGUAACACGUGGGAAUAUACACACAGGUAAGGAAUAACACAGAGAAAUUUGUGCUAAUACCUUAUAAUGACUCCGGUCCAAAGAUUUAUCGCCUGUGGAUUAGCCCGCGCUAGAUUAGUUUGUUGGUGAGGUAAAAGCUCACCAAGACUACGAUCUAUAGCUGGUCUUAGAGGAUGAUCAGCCACACUGGAACUGAGACACGGUCCAG
rnacentral:rRNA from 1 species